GACGAACGCUGGCGGCGCGCCUAACACAUGCAAGUCGAACGAGCGAGAGGAGGUUUACUUUCUCAAGCGAGUGGCGAACGGGUGAGUAACGCGUGAGGAACCUGCCUCAAAGAGGGGGACAACAGUUGGAAACGACUGCUAAUACCGCAUAAGCCCACGACCCGGCAUCGGGUAGAGGGAAAAGGAGCAAUCCGCUUUGAGAUGGCCUCGCGUCCGAUUAGCUAGUUGGUGAGGUAAUGGCCCACCAAGGCGACGAUCGGUAGCCGGACUGAGAGGUUGAACGGCCACAUUGGGACUGAGACACGGCCCAGACUCCUACGGGAGGCAGCAGUGGGGAAUAUUGCACAAUGGGGGAAACCCUGAUGCAGCGACGCCGCGUGGAGGAAGAAGGUCUUCGGAUUGUAAACUCCUGUUGUUGGGGAAGAUAAUGACGGUACUCAACAAGGAAGUGACGGCUAACUACGUG
rnacentral:rRNA from 1 species